rnacentral:misc_RNA from 1 species
GAUGAAGAACGUAGCGAAAUGCGAUAAGUAAUGUGAAUUGCAGAAUUCAGUGAAUCAUCGAAUCUUUGAACGCACAUUGCGCCCGCCAGUAUUCUGGCGGGCAUGCCUGUCCGAGCGUCAUUUCAACUCUCGAACCCCUCCGGGGGGUCGGCGUUGGGGACCUCGGGAGCCCCUAAGACGGGAUCCCGGCCCCGAAAUACAGUGGCGGUCUCGCCGCAGCCUCUCCUGCGCAGUAGUUUGCACAACUCGCACCGGGAGCGCGGCGCGUCCACGUCCGUAAAACACCCAACUUCUGAAAUGUUGACCUCGGAUCAGGUAGGAAUACCCGCUGAACUUAAGCAUAUCAAUAAGCGGAGGA